CCUGUAUGCAGAUGUAAUCGCCCACGGCCUGCUUACAUCCUGGAACCACAGGCCCGUUACAGCACGUACAUCCUGUCCUGAAUACAGCCCGUAAAUAACGGGCCUGUUUCAGCCUGUACCACCCACGUCCUGCUUACAGCCUGUGCAGCCAGUGUAUGCGCAUGCGCAGAGAGAAAGUUGCUUAGCUACGAAAUCCACCAAGAGACUGAAAAGGUGCUUCAGUUUGAUCUUCUCCUUCAGUUGCAGCUUUAAAGGAUGGAUGGAGUAAUUAUAUUAUUUAUGGAGCUGACUGCCAAGGCCAGCUAGCAAGAAAAAGAGAGAGAGAGAGGAACUGCUAGAUGUCUCUGCAAUUCUUCUCUCACUGUCUCUAGGAGUCUAGCUCUAUAGGCUACAAGAUCUGGUUGACUCUGACACAGGUUGUUGACUUCUAAUACAAUGUUAUAAGAAUACACAUCUAAAAAGGAGGAUAUGCACCUCUACAACGACUACUAAAUAGUUGUCUGUGUCAUCAUUACUUUAUGAGCUCGAGAUUCAGAUGUACCUGUGUCUAUGUCAUCAUUACUGUACUGAUUGAGCUCGAGAGAUUGAGGUUCCUAUUCACACUACUUGAGAAUGUGAGCCAAUUUUUACCAUCAAUGAUUUCAACCCGUCAUGACCAGAAGCAUCGUGGACACACCUAUACUUUAGAAUUUGGCAGUUAAGUUACUGGCUCUGGACAUGGCUGGUCUGUGACAGUACAAACAGUCGAACAAAAAAGGUAUAAAUGGUAAGACUAUAUUCACUAUAUACACACAGUGACAGAGGACGUGGCUGGUCUGUGGACAGUACGAACAGUCGAACAACACAUUAUAUUGUGACGAGGACAUGGCUGGUCUGUGGACAGUACGAACAGUCGAACAACACAUAAUGUGACACACUCGAGCAGCACAAGCACUAGAAGAAACAUUCCUGUUAGUGUUGUACACUGUUGAACUGUCUGGCUAUGUUUGUUUCUUAAUUAAAAGUGUUAACACUUUGUGGAAUUAUUUAUGCCAAACUCAGCUUUUAACUGUAUAAAAGCAAACCGCAGAACUAACUGAGAACAUAGGGCUGCUUACAGCCCGUUCUACGGCUAAUCACAUGCUGAAAUCCACAGACUGCUAAGCAGUAUCUAACCAAACAGUUGAAUACACCACGUGGUUUCAUGCCUGUAACGGGCCCGUAACAUGCAUGAAACGGCCCGUGGAUUAUUGGCUGUGUAGUCCAGUGGAAGUGGGUGUGUUGGCACUGAGAAAGAUGGGCGUGUCCCGAGCCACGUGGAGUAGCUAGCUAGAGUAGAGUAGAGAAUGGCUAGUAAAAAAGAUGCAUUGGAUAAGGUUAAGGGAGGAGAGAGCAUCAGCAAGAAGAGGUCACUGAAGCAGCAGAUCAGGGACACACAGAGAUUGCUGACAAAGGAGGACCUCCCGGAGACAGUGCGGCUGACCAAGGAGAGGGUAUUGAAAUCCCUCCAUGGAGAGCUCAACGACAAGGCUAGUCAGAGGCAGAAGCAGAAUAUCUCAAAAAAGUACCGGAGGUCAAGUUCUUUGGUGAGUAACUCUAAUUAUACGAAACUUGACCCAUACAGCACCAUACAAAGUUGGUCUCACCCAAAAAAAUAAUUUUUCUGGCACUUAAUAAUAACAGUUACUACGAUAGUGAUCAUUCAGUAGUGUGUGUGUGUGUGUGUUUGUGGUGUCUUCCCGCCCACCCAGAUAAAAGGAAAGUGGUGCGUAGACUAAGCCGAGCGUGCAAGGAGUUCAGUGAGGGUGGUCUCACAGAGGACGAGGGCACUUUCCUCCUGAUGAGAAGUACAUCUCCCUCUACCCUAGCUCCACCCCCAGUAGUGAGUCUGCUCUCACCAAGCGAGAGGAGUUGCUGACAUGCAUAGCAGAGAGUGUAGCAAGUGGAGAGCUACCUGAUGCUGCCUCAUUGGAGAGAGAGGUGGUCCUUCCCGGGGAACUGGCGGGCUCUGUCACAAAGUCACAUGAGACUAGCAGACAGCCUGUACAACAUCGGGAGAGGGCACCAAAGAGGAAAAAGAGGAUCUCUAAUGAGAGUGAAGUUGAUUCUGUUAUUGUGGAAACAAGCAAAAAGAAACUUCGAGAAGACGGAUUCUUUUUAGUAGAUAGUAGAACAUGAUUUUAAUUAAGGUAUGUACUGUGUUCAGUUUGUGUGUCAACAACUUGAUAGUUACACAUUUGUGUUGUACGUCGUUUCCAUAGUUACACGUCUGUGUUGUAUGGCGUAUCCAAUAGCGACUCCAUUUCCUCUGUAACCACUCGGUCUGCUCUUUGUGUCUUGUUCUCUUUGAGAGCUUUUAAAUUUUUCCCUGCAAAAAAUAUUAUUGAACAUA